rnacentral:rRNA from 1 species
CGGUAAACAAAGGGAAGCUAGCCGGUGACGGUGCGCGAAUCCCAAAAAUAACGUCUCAGUUCGGAUUGUAGUCUGCAACUCGACUACAUGAAGCUGGAAUCGCUAGUAAUCGCGGAUCAGAAUGCCGCGGUGAAUACGUUCCCGGGUCUUGUACACACCGCCCGUCACACCAUGGGAGUCGGAAAUGCCCGAAGUCUGUGACCGAACCGAAAGGAAGGAGCAGCCGAAGGCAGGUCGGAUGACUGGGGUGAAGUCGUAACAAGGUAUC